rnacentral:rRNA from 1 species
UUUCGCAAUGCCCGAAAGGGUGACGAAGCGACGCCGCGUGUGGGAAGAAGGCCUUCGGGUUGUAAACCACUGUCGGGAGUUAGGAAAUGUAAGGGUGUUAAUAGCAUCUUUGCUUGACUAAGGCUCCGGAGGAAGCCACGGCUAACACUGUGCCAGCAGCCGCGGUAAUACAGAGGCGGCAAGCGUUGUUCGGAAUUAUUGGGCGUAAAGAGCACGUAGGCGGCCUUGUAAGUCAGUUGUGAAAGCCUUCUGCUUAACGGAAGAACAGCAGCUGAUACUGCAAGGCUAGAGUGCGGAAGGGGAGAGUGGAACUUCUGGUGGAGCGGUGAAAUGCGUAGAUAUCAGAAGGAACACCGGCGGCGAAGGCGACUCUCUGGUCCGUAACUGACGCUGAGUGUGCGAAAGCUAGGGGAGCAAACGGGAUUAGAUACCCCGGUAGUCCUAGCCGUAAACGAUGGGCACUAAGUAGAGGGGUUUUA